AGCAGCCGCGGUAAUUCCAGCUCCAAUAGCGUAUAUUAAAGUUGUUGCAGUUAAAAAGCUCGUAGUUGAAUUUCGGGAUCGAUACGUCGGUCGUGCCUUCGGUACGCACUGGCGUUUAUCGAUUUCUCCCUUCUGACGAUCCAUGAUGUCAUUAAUUUGGUGUUAUGGGGAAUCAGGACUGUUACUUUGAAAAAAUUAGAGUGUUUAAAGCAGGCAUUAGCUUGAAUACAUUAGCAUGGAAUAAUGAAAUAGGACGUUCGAACCUAUUUUGUUGGUUUUUAGGAUCAACGUAAUGAUUAAUAGGGAUAGUUGGGGGCAUUAGUAUUCAAUUGUCAGAGGUGAAAUUCUUGGAUUUAUUGAAGACUAACUAUUGCGAAAGCAUUUGCCAAGGAUGUUUUCAUUAAUCAAGAACGAAAGUUAGGGGAUCGAAGACGAUCAGAUACCGUCGUAGUCUUAACCAUAAACUAUGCCGACUAGGGAUCGGAUGAUGUUAAUUUUUUAAUGACUCAUUCGGCGCCUUACG
rnacentral:rRNA from 1 species